AUAAUGUCUGCACCGCUUUCAGAUUUUUGCACUUUGAAAUACUCUGUAAAUACCCCCUUACAUCCAUUUUAAACUGCUCAAACACAGGGGUCUUCCCAGACCACCUCAUUUUAUGUAUAUAAUAACGUGCCGUUAUAAUCGUUACAUUUAUUACAAACGACAUUUUGAUAUUGUUUUCGAUGGGGCUGAAACUUCACCUAACAUCUUUUUCAUCACAACAAUUAUCAAUAUGGGUUUCUGUUUUAAUACAAGUCUGCAACUUAGUCCAGGAAAUGUUUACCCCGGGACAGAACCCAAACACGUGCCGAAUAGUUUCAGGGCUAUCGUCACAAAAAACACAUCGGUCGUCUAUAUUGGUUUCAGAUCGCUGGGUAACAGGAGUCUUAACUGGGUAACAUUCACGGCAGCAACACAUCCGGGGAAGGACACCAGCUGCUGCUGACUCAGUUAGCCGACUGGAGGGAGGGACAGUGCUCAGUCUCUUGCAGUUCAUUGGUUCAUUCGUGCUGUAGGCGUGACUGAACCCUCUACAUUUCAGUUAAUCAAUAAGGCAGAGGCUUUGGCCUAACUGCUGCCUGUCCCAGCCAAAAGCACAUAGAAAUGUUGUACCGAGGGCGGGUUCUGUGAGGACGGAGGCGGAGACGGAGACUCAGACACGGCGCUGUGUUUCUCCCCUCGUCGCCGGGAUCUGCCAGCAGCACCGCCGCGGCCCGUCCAGAGAGGCAGAGAGACAGAGCGGGUCACGGCUCUCACUCCAGAACAACAACACUUUUUUUAUCUGGGCUCUCCUUUCCGGGUAUUUUUUUCCUCUUAAAAGAAAAAGGGCAUCGCCCGUCUGUUCUUCACGUUUGCGAGACGACUUGGUGUGAUGACAGAGUCUGUCUAGUGGCCCAAUUGUUACAUGAAGAGGGCAGAUUGUUUACUGACUUUAUGGAAAAUAAGAUUCCUCUUACUCUCCGAGAACACGCUAUGGUCUUUGAUACUGUUCCCGAGAAAGUGGUGAGGCUGUUUAGAGGUAGUCUCGGCCUUGCAAAUAGAUUAUCUUCUGAUAAUUUAUUGUUGGAUGGAAUAGAUAUAAGAAAUGCAAUAAUUACUAUGUUAGGAACUUGUGUAAGUCAUGUUAUACAUUCUUGUAUCUCCUUUUGGAAUGCUAUGUUUAGGAACAUAAAUAGGAAAUUAGUGUGGUCAAAUCCUGAUAAAUAUUGUCUUACAAAUAAAGUUAAAGACAUUUCAUUUAAGAUUGCUCACAGAUUUUUAUCCUGUUAAAUUGACACUUUCUAGAUUUAAACAUGAGCAAGAUGAGUUCUGUGUAUUUUGUAAUGAUGAGAAGGAAUCUUAAAUUACAUUUGUUUCACUGCAUAUAAACAGAAUUGUUUUGGAUAGAUCUGCAAAAUAUGAAUGCUCAACACUUAGUUAAACGUUAAACUGAAAGAUUCUCAUUUUAUAUUUUGUUAGAUCUGAUUUGGAUAAAGGAUGUUUUUAUUAAUCUGUUGAAUAUUUUGGCUUAAUAUUUUACCCACAAAUCUAAAUGGUCUAAUACUGCUCCCUCUAUUCAUGCUUUUAAAGUUGACUUCCUUUUUUAUUUAAAAUUCUAUUAGAAAUUUAAAGAAUCAAAAGGCAAGAAAUACAGUGGAAAUGUGUAAAGCUUUUAGUUUGCGCAAUUGUGAAUUCCCCCGGCUGUGAAGUGUCUCUCUCCGUGUACAUCUCACUAUUUUGUCUCCUUUUUUGUUUUUGGUGUUUAAAUAACUUAAAUUUUAACAAAAAUAAUUCGGCACAGGCGUAAACCUUCCUUUUGACAAAAUGGCGGCGGGGCGGUGGCCGUCAUGGCGACCGACUGUGCUCGAAAC